AAGAGCGUUGAUGCAGAGGUUGCCGCAAAAGCGGGUUUUCUGCGGAGCGAUGUCCAGUUCAAGAAACCGGGCG
rnacentral:ncRNA from 1 species